rnacentral:misc_RNA from 1 species
AAGUCGUAACAAGGUUUCCGUAGGUGAACCUGCGGAAGGAUCAUUAAGAGUUUGCGGUGGCCUAACCCGCCUCGUCUUUCUUUUAACCAUUGUGAAAACACCCGUUGCUUCGGUGGCUUUCCCUCGAGAGGGGGAUGUCAGUCUGCCGGCGGCACACAACCAAAAUCCAUUUCUGUAACUGUCGUCUGUACAUUAACGAAAAAGUACGUUAAAA